rnacentral:tRNA from 1 species
GCCCCGUUAGUCUAGCGGUUAGGACGCUGGCCUCUCACGCCGGAAUCAGGGGUUCAAUUCCCCUACGGGGUA